rnacentral:rRNA from 1 species
CCUACGGGAGGCUGCAGUGGGGAAUAUUGCACAAUGGGGGAAACCCUGAUGCAGCGACGCCGCGUGAGUGAGGAAGUAUUUCGGUAUGUAAAGCUCUAUCAGCAGGGAAGAAAAUGACGGUUCCUGACUAAGAACCCCCGGCCAACUACGUUCCAGCCGCCGCGGUAAUUCGUAGGGGGCAAGCGUUAUCCGGAUUUACUGGGUGUAAAGGGAGCGUAGACGGCUAAUCAAGUCAGAAGUGAAAACCCGGGGCUCAACCUUGGGAGUGCUUUUGAAACUGAGGAGCUAGAGUGCAGGAGAGGUAAGCGGAAUUCCUAGUGUAGCGGUGAAAUGCGUAGAUAUUAGGAGGAACACCAGUGGCGAAGGCGGCUUACUGGACUGUAACUGACGUUGAGGCUCGAAAGCGUGGGGAGCAAACAGGAUUAGAUACCCCUGUAGUC